rnacentral:rRNA from 1 species
UCUUGGUCAUUUAGAGGAAGUAAAAGUCGUAACAAGGUCUCCGUAGGUGAACCUGCGGAGGGAUCAUUACAGAGUUCAUGCCCUUACGGGUAGAUCUCCCACCCUGUGUUAUUAUUACCUUUGUUGCUUUGGCGGGCCGCCCGGCUUCGGCCAGGCUACCGGCUCCGGCUGGUAAGCGCCCGCCAGAGGACCCAAAACCCUGAAUGUUAGUGUCGUCUGAGUACUAUAUAAUAGUUAAAACUUUCAACAACGGAUCUCUUGGUUCUGGCAUCGAUGAAGAACGCAGCGAAAUGCGAUAAGUAAUGUGAAUUGCAGAAUUCAGUGAAUCAUCGAAUCUUUGAACGCACAUUGCGCCCCUUGGUAUUCCGAGGGGCAUGCCUGUUCGAGCGUCAUUACAACCCUCAAGCAAUGCUUGGUAUUGGGCCCCGCCGCUCACCCGGCGGGCUCUAAAAUCAGUGGCGGUGCCGUCGGGCUCUGAGCGUAGUAAUUCUUCUCGCUAUAGGGUCCCGGUGGAUGCUGGCCAACAACCCCCAAUUUUCUAUGGUUGACCUCGGAUCAGGUAGGGAUACCCGCUGAACUUAAGCAUAUCAAUAAGCGGAGGA